UACGGGGGGGGCAAGCGUUGUUCGGAAUUACUGGGCGUAAAGGGCUCGUAGGCGGCCAACUAAGUCAGACGUGAAAUCCCUAGGCUCAACCUAGGAACUGCAUUCGAUACUGGCGGGCUAGAGACCGGAAGAGGUGGGUGGAAUACCCAGUGUAGAGGUGAAAUUCGUAGAUAUUGGGUGGAACACCGGUGGCGAAGGCGGCUCACUGGUCCGGUUCUGACGCUGAGGCGCGAAAGCGUGGGGAGCAAACAGG
rnacentral:rRNA from 1 species